GGGGUUGUACUGGUUUCGACGGGAGUUUUGAGAUCGGAGAAGCAGGCCGCAGGUAUGCGUUAAAUCCAAACUUAAAUAUAAACGCUGAAGAUAAUAAUUUAGCACUCGCUGCCUAAGCGCAGCGUGUCCUUCCUAUUGCACCUACACUUUAGGGUAAGGGCAUCGAAUCUGUAGGAAACGACGGGGUGAGCGGGCUCGUAGCCUCGGCCGUAUAAGGGUCUACCGAGAAAAGUAUCGUGUCGGUCCGAGACUUUUUGGGGGAAUCAAUAAAGAUUGACUAAGCUUGUAGAAGUACGGUGGAGAGAUUUUCGGACAGGGGUUCGAUUCCCCCCAGCUCCAU
rnacentral:tmRNA from 1 species